rnacentral:rRNA from 1 species
GAUGAACGCUGGCUACAGGCUUAACACAUGCAAGUCGAGGGGAAACGACGGGGAAGCUUGCUUCCCCGGGCGUCGACCGGCGCACGGGUGAGUAACGCGUAUCCAACCUGCCUCUGACUGAGGGAUAACCCGUCGAAAGUCGGCCUAAUACCUCAUGGCAUCGUCUGCGGGCAUCCAACGACGAUUAAAGAUUUCAUCGGUCAGGGAUGGGGAUGCGUCUGAUUAGCUUGUUGGCGGGGUAACGGCCCACCAAGGCUACGAUCAGUAGGGGUUCUGAGAGGAAGGUCCCCCACAUUGGAACUGAGACACGGUCCAAACUCCUACGGGAGGCAGCAGUGAGGAAUAUUGGUCACUGGGCGGGAGCCUGAACCAGCCAAGUAGCGUGCAGGAUGACGGCCCUAUGGGUUGUAAACUGCUUUUAUGCGGGGAUAAAGUGAGGGACGUGUCCUUCAUUGCAGGUACCGCAUGAAUAAGGACCGGCUAAUUCCGUG